rnacentral:rRNA from 1 species
UACGGGGGGGGGCAAGCGUUGUUCGGAAUUACUGGGCGUAAAGGGCGCGUAGGUGGCCUUCUAAGUUGAACGUGAAAUCCCUGGGCUCAACCCAGGAACUGCGUCCAAGACUGGGAGGCUUGAAUCCGGGAGAGGGAUGCGGAAUUCCAGGUGUAGCGGUGAAAUGCGUAGAUAUCUGGAGGAACACCGGUGGCGAAGGCGGCAUCCUGGACCGGUAUUGACGCUGAGGCGCGAAAGCCAGGGGAGCAAACGGG